AGCUCCAAGAAUACGCGGAGGAGGUGGCCCGGGUCGGCGUCGGCGCCGUCCGGCACGGGCCACGGGCCCGCUUCGAAGUGUGUCUGCACGCCGGCCACCCACGUCGGGUCCUUCAAGUGCCGUUUCCACCGCACCAACUCCCAGGGCCACGGCCACGGCCAGGGAAGCCGCCCUUCUUCGCCCCCUUCACCGGCUGUGGCCAACGCGGUGCCGCAGCACCCGGCCUCGCCGUUCUCGUCCUCUGGCACCGUUGCGACCCAGUGA
rnacentral:rRNA from 1 species